rnacentral:rRNA from 1 species
AACCGGGAGAACUGAAACAUCUAAGUACCCCGAGGAAAAGAAAUCAACCGAGAUUCCGCAAGUAGCGGCGAGCGAACGCGGAGAAGCCCAAUUAAGUUGCGUAUGAGCUAGUAGAACAUUCUGGGAAGGAUGGCCACAGAGGGUGAUAGCCCCGUAUACGAAAGCCAUACACAAUGAAUCGAGUAGGGCGGGACACGUGAAAUCCUGUCUGAACAUGGGGGGACCAUCCUCCAAGGCUAAAUACUCGUUGUCGACCGAUAGUGAACCAGUACCGUGAGGGAAAGGCGAAAAGAACCCUGGUGAAGGGAGUGAAAUAGAACCUGAAACCGUGUGCAUACAAGCAGUCAGAGCAUAUAAAGAUAUGUGAUGGCGUACCUUUUGUAUAAUGGGUCAGCGAGUUACAUUCAGUGGCGAGGUUAACCGGAUAGGGGAGCCGUAGCGAAAGCGAGUCUUAAUAGGGCGGUAAGUCUCUGGGUGUAGACCCGAAACCGGGCGAUCUAUCCAUGGGCAGGUUGAAGGUUGAGUAACAUCAACUGGAGGACCGAACCCACGCAUGUUGAAAAAUGCGGGGAUGACCUGUGGAUAGGAGUGAAAGGCUAAACAAGCUCGGAGAUAGCUGGUUCUCCCCGAAAACUAUUGAGGUAGUGCCUUGUAGAUUGACUUGCGGGGGUAGAGCACUGUUUCGGCUAGGGGGUCAUACCGACUUACCAACCCGAUGCAAACUCCGAAUACCGCAAAGUUUUACUACAGGAGACACACGGCGGGUGCUAACGUCCGUCGUGAAGAGGGAAACAACCCAGACCGCCAGCUAAGGUCCCGAAAUGACAGUUCAGUGGGAAACGAAGUGGGAAGGCUUAGACAGCUAGGAGGUUGGCUUAGAAGCAGCCAUCCUUUAAAGAAAGCGUAAUAGCUCACUAGUCGAGUCGUCCUGCGCGGAAGAUUUACCGGGGCUAAACUGUCUACCGAAGCUGCGGAUUUGCAUGAAAGUGCAAGUGGUAGGGGAGCGUUGUGUAAGCUGAUGAAGGUGUGUUGAGAAGCAUGCUGGAGGUAUCACAAGUGCGAAUGCUGACAUGAGUAACGAUAAUGCGGGUGAAAAACCCGCACACCGAAAACCCAAGGUUUCCUGCGCAACGCUAAUCGGCGCAGGGUGAGUCGGCCCCUAAGGCGAGGCGGAAACGCGUAGUCGAUGGGAAACAGGUUAAUAUUCCUGUACUGAUCAUAAUUGCGAUGGGGGGACGGAGAAAGCUAGGCCAGCACACUGUUGGAUGUGUGUUUAAGCGCGUAGGUUGGGGACUUAGGCAAAUCCGGGUCUCUAAGACUGAAACGUGAUGACGAGUUUCUACGGAAACGAAGUGGUUGAUGCUCUGCUUCCAGGAAAAGCCUCUAAGCUUCAGAUUAUGACAACCGUACCCCAAACCGACACAGGUGGGUAGGAAGAGAAUUCCAAGGUGCUUGAGAGAACUCGGGUAAAGGAACUCGGCAAAAUGAUACCGUAACUUCGGGAUAAGGUAUGCCUCUGACGGUGCAUAGCUGUUGGAGGCCGCAGAGAAUAGGCCGCUGCGACUGUUUAUCAAAAACACAGCACUCUGCAAACACGCAAGUGGACGUAUAGGGUGUGACGCCUGCCCGGUGCCGGAAGGUUAAUUGAUGGGGUGCAAGCUCUUGAUCGAAGCCCCGGUAAACGGCGGCCGUAACUAUAACGGUCCUAAGGUAGCGAAAUUCCUUGUCGGGU